GCCGGCGAUUCUUCAGCCCUUGGGGAGCUUUGAGUUCUGGAUAGAUCUGCGAUUCUGGGAACUGACUUUAAACAAAAUCACGAAGCUUUGCAGUGAAGACACAUCUGACUCACAAUGUCCUUUGCUGCAUCUGCAUAUGAGCUGCCCAAAAGCCCAACUAAAUUAAUCCCUCCAAAAGUAAAGGAGAUGAAAUCAACCAAUCUGAGGGAAGCCUGACCAAGGCAUUCAUGUAUCAAAAAGAUAUGGAAUACCUACCCACUACAUACAUGAUACUAGAAAUCCUACAGCUUCCCUGCACAGUGGCUGUGGUUUUCAUUUCAGUGAUACGAAACUGAGGCCAGAGAGGUAAAGAACUUGGCCUGAAGUCACAUGGGGCACUGGGUGUUAUUUGAAGCAGUUUUUUUCAAAAAAGUCACGGAGAAACAUUACUCAGAGCCUCUCCCUCACACCCUGCAGAUAGAGCUCUGAAUCUCGGCAUCUGUGAGUUGCUUCUUUUGGGCUUUUUAAAAAGUCUUCCAGAAUUGUGGAAUGGGAUAGUUUCAGUUAAAAUAUCUGUUUUUGAAAAUCAUGACCAAUAAUAAAAAUCAAGAAUGUCCUGUUACAUAUUUCAUACCUUUAAGAAUUUCAUUUUGCUCUAAUUGGUCUUAUUGGAUUAAAUGAUUUCUAAAGUCUUCUCUGGGACUUCACUUUUGUGUUUCAAGUUUCUUUUCCAUCUGAAAGCCAUAUAUUUGGGUUAAACCAAAUUGUUAGCAAUAGGUAUCUUUGUAGAAUUUCUAGUAGUUUG
rnacentral:sRNA from 1 species